CAGCAGCCACGGUAAUACAGAGGUCUCAAGCGUUGUUUCGGAUUCAUUGGGCGUAAAGGGUGCGUAGGUGGCGGGGUAAGUCAGGUGUGAAAUUUCGGAGCUUAACUCCGAAACUGCAUUUGAUACUGCCUUGCUUGAGGACUGGAGAGGAGACUGGAAUUCACGGUGUAGCAGUGAAAUGCGUAGAGAUCGUGAGGAAGACCAGUGGCGAAGGCGGGUCUCUGGACAGUUCCUGACACUGAGGCACGAAGGCCAGGGGAGCAAACGGGAUUAGAUACCCCGGUAGUCCUGGCAGUAAACGGUGCACGUUUGGUGUGGGGGGAUUCGACCCCUUCCGCGCCGGAGCUAACGCGUUAAACGUGCCGCCUGGGGAGUACGGUCGCAAGAUUAAAACUCAAAGAAAUUGACGG
rnacentral:rRNA from 1 species